UUCACAUGUGGAGUAUAACUUUGUCUUCACUGCCUUCAUGUUCAUAAAUAGCAAUGCUUAACCCCAAAAUACAGUCAAAGAUACGUCCAUUUGGUUUAAUUAUCUAGCAUUCUUUGAAGCAGUGAAAAAAUUACGGCUUGAAACGUUAAGUGUUGUACUCACGUGGUCUGAGCAAGAGCUCACUAGGACCUCUUUUUAUCAUUGAAGCAUCUUUUUUUCUCUUUUAACGUAUGAAAGUGGAGUAUAAUAAUGGAGAGCGCAUGAGGCAACUUGAACUAUAGCAAAAAUAUAAGUAUUUACAGCUUUGAAGUACAUAACUUUACAGAAAACUCACUGGCAGCGUGAUAAAUUAUGGAAGAGUCAGGAGUAGUGGGUAUUGAAGCUAUUUUUGAAACUCUACAACACGCAUGUAGCCAGAAUCCUGAGUUACUUAAGCCAGCUGAACAGAGGCUACAUUCAUGGGAGACGCGACAUGGCUUUUAUACUGCAUUAAUGCACAUAUUUUCCAAUCGAUCAAUGGAUGCCAACAUUCGAUGGUUAGCUAUCCUUUACAUUAAGAAUGGUGUGGAUAGAUAUUGGAGGAAAAAUGCCCCAAAGGCUAUCCCAGAAGAGGAGAAAGCAAUGAUGAGACACCAGUUGAUAUUGUCAUUAGAUGAGCCUGUUCAUCAGAUCGCAACACAAGUAGCAGUUUUAAUUUCAAAGAUUGCAAGACUUGAAUUGCAUAGUUGGCCAGAACUUUUUCCUGCUCUGUUUGAGGGAGUUCAGAACCCUUCGUUUUUAGUAAAGCACAGAUCUUUACUGGUCUUGAACCAUGUAACCAAGAUGUUGUCGUCUAAGAGACUGGCCAAUGAUAGGCAACUAUUCAGACAGUUAUCUGAGAGCAUCUAUGCAUCUAUACUUGAUCUGUGGGAAGCUCAUUCUACUUUGUGUUUUGAAAAAGUACACCAACAGGCAUCAAAUAUCGAAGAGUCCUUAGAACUAAGUAUAUUGUUAGUAAAAGUCCUCAGGAAACUCACUGUUCAUGGCCACAGAGGAUUUACUCCUGAUUCCAAGCCAAUGGUAUUUCUUAGCACAAGUUUUGACAAGAUUAGACUGUUUUUGGAAUGUCGGAGACAGCUAGGCCACAGCCAAAAGUUAAAUGAAAUGGUGGAAAAAAUAGCAAAGCUUUUAAGCAAGUCUCUUUUGGACAGCUUGGAUCACCACCCAUCGUCUUUCAUCCCAUUGGUGCAAAAGAGUCUAGAGUUCUGUGUCACUUAUUUAUUUAACUCAGAGGCAGCAGGACUUGGGUUUGAGUUGUUUCUUGUUCAGUGUUGUAACAUUGUGAGAGCCAUUCUGCGCUGUGACGUCUACCGUCCACCCAAGGAAAUUAAAGAAAGUACUCCACAAGAAACUAUUGCAGUUCAUCAGGUUAAGAUGUCAUUUUUCACGCCAUCAGUGUUGACAGAAAUCAUACAACGACUUGUGAUGCAUUUCUUUUUGUUAAAAGAGGAGGAAUUAGAAAACUGGGAGUCAGAUCCAGAAGAUUUUGUAAAUGAAGAAGUUGGGGAAUCAUGGCGAUAUCAGUUGAGGCCAAGCACAGAAGUCCUGUAUCUUACUUUGUUUGCAGAGUUCAGAACUAUAGUCACACCAGUGGUGGUCAACAUGAUUCAUACGGUACAAGUGUCUCCAGAUUCUGAAGACAUGAACUUUUUACUUCAAAAAGACGCUGUAUACACUGCAGCUGGCUUGGCGUCGUAUGACUUAUUUGGAGAAGUUGACUUUGACGCUUGGUUCAAAGACUAUCUUUUAAGGGAAAUGCAUACGACGUCAUCCAGAACAAAAUUACUUCGACGUCGUGUGCCGUGGCUUGUUGGUCAGUGGGUCAACGUGAAGAUGUCUGCUUCAGUUCGUCCCUUGAUAUAUGAAUCACUUAUCUACCUCAUGCAGGAACACGAGGAUCUGGUGGUUCGACUAACAGCAGCAAAUACAAUGAAGACUGUUGUUGAUGACGUCGAAUUCCAUCUCGAUGACUUUGAACCGUUCAUCAAUGGAAGUUUUACGUCCCUCUUUCAUCUGUUGCGACAAGUUUCAGAAUGUGACACUAAGAUGCACGUCCUCCAUGUAUUAUCAACCCUGAUUGAAAGAGUGGACUCAAAGGUCCGUCCCUUCGCGGGUUUAUUAACAAUGUACCUGCCUCAUCUAUGGGAUGAAUCUGAACAACACAAUAUGCUACGGUGCGCAAUACUUGCCACGCUCAAUCAUCUCAUACAGGGCUUGGGAACAGAAAGUGUCAGUUUGUAUCCUUUUCUUCUUCCUAUCAUCCAGCUAAGCACUGAUAUCACACAGCCACCGCACGUUUAUCUGUUGGAAGAUGGACUAGAGCUUUGGCAAAAGACGAUUGAAAAUGCAAACAAAUUGACUCCAGAGCUUCUCCAUUUGUUCAGCAACAUGCCUGCGUUAAUGGAAAUCAGCAGUGAAAACUUAAGAACUUGCUUUGGAAUARUCGACCGUUAUCUUCUUUUAGACGGGAAAGAAUUUCUUAAGAAUUUCGGUACGUCCGUGGUUCGUUCCUGCGAGAACAUGGUGGGGAAUAUCAAACCUGAAGGAGGAAUCAUUAUAGCCAAGGUUAUCGAGACCAUUGUCAAAUCUUUUCCUGUGGAAGGAGUGCAGUUGUUGCAGCCAGUUCUCAUCAAGAUGUUUAAACUGAUUUUUGAAGAAGAGGAACACACACCGUUGCUAGUCAUCUAUUUAUGUAUUUUUGGAGAAAUCAUUCUAAAGAAUCCCUCCUACUUCUCGGACUUUAUUGAAAUGAUGGCAGGAAUGUCCCAUGCGCAGAGCGUGGACCUUCUUGGACAGUUUUUAGAUGUCUGUCUGGACAAGCUUGACUCGAUGACUCGACUGGAAAGAAGAAAACUAAUGGUGAUGGCGCUAUCUUCACUUUUACCUGUAAAUUCGAAAUGUGUAACAGAGAGAUUUGCAGUCAUCCUGGAUGCAGUUGUGGAUGUUUUACACGAGAUUCAUCGGUGUGAAGAAGGAGUACAUACAGAUUGCCUCGUACUUUUUACUGAUGAGGAUGUUCCGAAUGAUGAGUCAGAAUCGGAAAACCAACUGAGAAAAAAGAAGUUGACCUUAUCGGAUCCAGUGCAUCGUAUUCCUCUGUGGCAGUUUGUUGGUGCUAAGCUUAAAGAGAGCCAAUCAGCGCACGGUGAUGUCGUGUUCCAAUCAUGUAUGGAAUGCCUAGACUCUGCCGUAGCAGAGCAACUCUUCUCAUUUAUCAAUCACUAAGAUGAAGGGUGUAUUUCACUAUUCUAGGACUACAACAUAUCAUUAUGACCCCACCCAAGAUGUAUUUUUCAAAUGAAAAGUCUGGUGUACAUUUGGUUCCAGCCUGACAUGGAUUUGAUGAACAUGGGUUCUAUAAGACAAGAAUUCAUCUUAACACUUAAUUCAAACGUCCUAUGCCCCAAAUUGGUAAAGAUGCGACAAAAUUCGAUUGGAUUGGAUUCCUUCGAAGCUUCGUUGUUUAGCUGAGUUUAGCUGUGGAAAAUAAUACACCUCUUUAGAUUGUAUUAUAGUUUCCCCAUGUCCGACGACGUGCUAUUCUCUUGAGUGUCAUUUCUCUGUUUGGAUGUUUCAAUUCCGAGCAAGAGGCUUGGAGCGAGUUUUGAAUUUCAAAUAAAUUUAUAGCAAAA